AAAAAGGUCAAGGCUCCUAUUCUUGAAAAGUAUCGCAUACGAAAAACUACGGAAAUACUAUAGUAUGCGUUACAUAUACUGUAGCAUAUAGUUUUUCUCGUUUUUUGC